rnacentral:rRNA from 1 species
CAGUAGCCACGGGAAAACGUAGGGGGCGAGCGUUGUCCGAAGUUACUGGGCGUAAAGAGCGCGUAGGCUGGUCUUUAAGUGAGUGGUGAAAGGUUCGGGCUCAACCCGGACACUGCCUUUCAUACUGGGGACCUUGAGUGUGGGAGAGGCGAGUGGAAUGGUCGGUGUAGCGGUGAAAUGCGUAGAUAUCGAUCGGAACACCCAUGGCGAAGGCAGCUCGCUGGCCUAACACUGACGCUGAGGAGCGAAAGCGUGGGGAGCGAACAGGAUUAGAGACCCCCGUAGUCCCUGUCUCUUAUAC